rnacentral:rRNA from 1 species
GACGAACGCUGGCGGCGUGCUUAACACAUGCAAGUCGAACGGAAAGGCCCUGCUUUUGUGGGGUGCUCGAGUGGCGAACGGGUGAGUAACACGUGAGUAACCUGCCCUUGACUUUGGGAUAACUUCAGGAAACUGGGGCUAAUACCGGAUAGGAGCUCCUGCUGCAUGGUGGGGGUUGGAAAGUUUCGGCGGUUGGGGAUGGACUCGCGGCUUAUCAGCUUGUUGGUGGGGUAGUGGCUUACCAAGGCUUUGACGGGUAGCCGGCCUGAGAGGGUGACCGGCCACAUGGGGCCUGCGAUACGGCGCAGACUCGUAUGGGAGGCAGCAGUGGGGAACAUUGCACAAUGGGCGGAAGCCUGAUGCAGCAACGCCGCGUGCGGGAUGACGGGCUUCGGGUUGAAAACCGCUUUCGACGGUGACGAAGCGUGAGUGACGGUAACGGGUAAAGAAGCACCGGCUAACUACGUG